rnacentral:rRNA from 1 species
AUGUCCACCGCUGCCUCUGCGCUCCGCCCGGCGCCGCGGUGGGUUGCGCCGUCGCAGCGCCGGCUCGUGGAGCAGCACCUGGCGUCACUGCCCCACGGCCUCCAGCGCCUCCACCACGUGCAGGAGCUCCACGCGCAGCUCCUCAAGCACGGUAUCCACCUCGACCCGCUCACCGCCUCCAAGCUUAUCUCCUCAUACGCGCUCCAGCGCCGCCUCCCGGCCUCUCGCCGCGUCUUCGCCUCCUUCCCCAAUCCUCACGCCACCACCUUCCUCCCGAACACCCUUCUCCGCGCCUACGCGCUCAAUGCCCUGCCCCACGCCGCGGUCUCUGUCUUCUCCGCCAUGCCCCAGCGGGACAGCUUCACCUACUCCUUCCUCAUCAAGGCGCUCUCCUCCGCGGGCUUGACCCCCCUCAGGGCGGUGCACUCCCACGUCGUUAAACUCGGGUCCAUCGAGGACACCUAUGUCGGGAACGCGCUGAUCGACGCCUACUCCAAGAACGGCGGGUUUUUGGACGCCAGCAAGGUGUUCGAGGAAAUGCCUAGCCGGGAUACCGUAUCCUGGAACUCGGCCAUGGCUGCGAUGGUGCGACAGGGCGAGGUGGCAAGUGCGAGGAGGAUGUUUGACGAGAUGCCGGAGAAGGACACUGUAAGCUGGAACACCGUGCUGGACGGGUACACCAAGGCUGGGAAGAUGGAGGAGGCGUUCGAGCUGUUUCAGUGCAUGCCAGAGAGGAAUGUGGUGUCGUGGUCGACGGUGGUGUCUGGUUACUGUAAGAAGGGUGACAUGGAGAUGGCUCGAGUGAUCUUUGAUAAGAUGCCAACCAAGAACUUGGUAACAUGGACGAUAAUGGUCUCGGCAUGUGCCCAGAAUGGGCUUGUUGAGGAGGCUGGACGGUUGUUUACUCAGAUGAAGGAAGCUGCUGUGGAACUUGAUGUGGCUGCGGUUGUGAGUAUCUUGGCUGCAUGUGCAGAGUCAGGCUCGCUUGCUCUUGGGAAGAGGAUUCACCGGUACGUGCGGACGAGGCAACUGGGGAGGUCGACCCAUGUGUGCAAUGCAAUGAUUGACAUGUUUUGCAAGUGUGGGUGCGUAAACCGGGCUGAUUAUGUGUUUGACACUGAAAUAGCUGAGAAGGAUUCAGUGUCAUGGAACACCAUAAUUGGGGGAUUUGCGAUGCAUGGGCAUGGAGACAAGGCGCUGGACUUCUUUGGCCAAAUGAAGCUACAAGGGUUCCGUCCUGAUGCCGUGACAAUGAUCAACGUUCUUAGUGCAUGCACACACAUGGGGUUUGUGGAAGAGGGACGCCGGUAUUUCUCCAAUAUGGAGAGGGACUAUGGCAUUGUGCCACAGAUAGAGCAUUAUGGCUGCAUGAUUGACCUUCUUGGUCGUGGAGGGCUCAUCGAGGAGGCUGUUGACCUGAUAAAAAGCAUGCCUUGGGACCCUAAUGAGGUAAUAUGGGGGUCCCUUCUCAGUGCAUGCCGACUGCACAAGAACGUGGAGUAUGCAGAAAUUGCAGUGAACGAGCUCAGUAAGCUGCAGCCCUCCAAUGCAGGGAACUAUGCUGUCCUUUCAAACAUCUAUGCAGAGGCUGGGCAGUGGAGUGACAUGGCAAAGGCAAGGAUGCAAAUGAAAGGAACCGGGUCUCAGAAGUCAGCAGGAUCAAGUUGGAUUGAACUUGAUGAGGCAUUCCAUGAGUUCACAGUGGGGGACAGAAAACACUCAGACUCGGACCAGAUAUCUGAGAUGGUUGAUAGGCUGAGUUCACAUGUUAAGGAUGUUGGCUGCCUUCCAACAGCUAACGAGCUACUUGUGCAGUGA